CAGUCGUACCGACGGAAAAUCAGCUCUUUGAGUGCGGACUUGUGGGUUUACGUGAGCUUUACGGCCUCGUUGUUUGCAAUGUUCGUUCUUUUUGGGUGUACUUUUUCGUAUGGUAGGCCAAUGUCAGUUUCGAUCGCUAUAAAAUGACCGGCGGAAUGUAGCUUCGAUCUCGUAUUGAAGUGUUAUAGCCUCUGGUAGAUGUGGUGAUUGGGACUGAGGAUUGCAACGAAUACCUUUUGGGCUAUCCGUCUGAUCUCUGAAAGUUGCUUAGGUGCCGAAAGCAUGCUUACGGUUAUUUAAGUUGACGGUCAAAAGGUUAGAACGUGUUUAUA
rnacentral:rRNA from 1 species